AGUGGAUUUUCCCUUAUAAUAUACGAUGUUAAAAAAGAUUAAAAGGUUUAACCUAAGUGAAAACCUAAUUGGUACAGAAUUAAUUGGAAAAUUCUCGAGCAUUCCCUCUCAAUUUUCCCUCGCAGAAGUCUUUCCUUCUCAGCUUUCCCUCUCGUCUCUUUCCCUCUCAGCUUUCCCUUUCAGUUUUCCCUCUCAUCUCCUUCCCUCUCGAUCACAAACCAUUGUCUCAUGUUUAUUAAAAGAGUUUGUAGGCUUGUUUUUUGUUAAUAAGGUUUCGAGAAAGGGAAUGUGAAAGGGUUUGCACUCAGGGUCGUCGCGUGCCUCUAAGGGCCCUCGUGCCUCGGCUAACCGAGGGUUUGGAUUGACGGUCGUUGCACAGUGUUACUACGAGGAUGACAAGGAAGAGGAGUGCGCGACACGUGACAUGCUUGACGCACAGGGUUGCAAGCCGAAGCGCGGAGUGUAGUGGGUGGUGAUAGGGGAGCCUGGAGCUAGGAGGAACCUCUUAGCGCAGAGGCUCUUGAAGCUUCUAGAAGUUCCUCACAUUUCCAUGGCUACACUCCUCAGUCAAGACCUUAACCCUCGCUCCCACCUCUAUCACCAAAUAGCAAAUGCCUUAGAUCAUGGAAAACUUGUCCUAGAGGAAAAUAUUCUUUUAUAACCAUCACGUUUCGUUCUUUUCGAGCUCACGGUCACACUAUCAAAGUUUCGUCAUCUAUUCGGAAGACGUUGUUCCAUUGUUACUAGAUAUCGAUUGAGGUGAGGGUGUUGCAUUUUGGAAACAUUUGAAGUGGUAGUAAGGAGUAGCCAAAACAGGGUUUAUUUGGUCAACUUGGUGUAUUGGUAGUAUCGUAAACUCAAAAUCAUUAGAUAAUUAUAUUCUGGCUUCUUCCAAUGAAUUAUUUUGGUUAUUUUGUACUUUUGCAAGGCAUUUUGGAUGGUAAGGCUCUUACCAUUUCUCGCACUUGCACAUGCCCAGUUUUUUGUUCUUCAAAACUUGAUCAUAUUGUGACAACUAAUUUUUUAAAACUAUGAACUAAUUUACUCAUGUUUAUUUAACAAAGUGGCCUGUAUUUGGUGCUAAACGUUAUUUGUUCAGUCUACUACUUUAUUUAACUUGAUGGAAUUAUGCAGGAACAGAUCAUGUUCAUUGGCUNUAAAAAACAAGUCCUAUUGUUCUGCAGGUUUAAUUAAAUUAUUCUUGGUUUCCUAAAUUACCAGAUUGAGAAUUUUAAAAUAUCUUCAAAUUUUAUCUUCUAAUGUUUCUCAUGGUUCUUUUUGUUUGAUAUCAAAACUUAUACGGCUCAAAAGAAAACACCUAACAUCUGCCUCUGUCUGACAGAAAACUAUUCAAAUGUUAUUCACUUUUAACUAUAUUGUUGCAAUGCUAUGAGUCUUGAUAACUGAUUCAAACUAAUAAAGAAAAUUGAGGUUACGUAACCAACUUGAUACACUUGAGUUUUCUACAAGCGCACCCUUUCUUGUAUCAUUAGUUAUUGCUAUUUGGUUAUUUAGGAUUUAACUCUUCAAGUAAUUUAAGUAGAGUUUAGAGCAAGAGAGAGAAAAACAACCCAUUGUUGAUUUAAAUUAAAGUAUAUUGUAAUCGUAAUAUACUCACUUUCUCAAUUUAUUUGCAACAACUAAAGCUUGUACUUGGGAUUGCUUAUAGGUGAGAGAGGAAUAAGAAACUAAAUUACGCCUACGAGGCAAGAUAAGAAGUGUGGCUCCGUUACUACUAUAGGCACCACACGAUUAAGAUUCGUUCUCUGCUCGUUACAUUCCUAGAACUUUAACUCUAAAAAUAUUUUUUACAUUGAAAUUGGACAUAAAAGGUAAUUUUAUUCUAAAAAUAUUUGUUUAUCCUAGAAGCUAAUUUUGCAAAGUAACCUUUCAUUACUAGUAUUCAUACUCUUUUUGUACCCUGUUGUAUUUUAAUGAUAAGACAAGAAAUUUACCAUGGUGAUUUACAAGUUAAUUUGUAUUUGAGAUUUUGAAUCCUAAUUUUGGAGAUUUUAAUGAUUUGAUGAUCUCAAUUCCUGCAAAUGGACAUGACAAUUGGUUUGCUAAUGUGAUUUCAUAUGGGACCAAGCUGCAGGGUAUGCUUAGAUAUGCAUAAGUUCAAUUUUCUUCAAUGUGACAAAUGAUUGCAGGCUAUAUACAGGGAGGAUAUAAUGAAUUGGGAAAAAUACGUGUCCAAGGCCAUCUAAUUAAGUUCUUAUUGGCCAUGUGGUGGUUAUAAACCUUCUAUAUGGUCUAAUGAUUCCAGAAGAAGAGAAAAAUUUGUAUCCUCAUGAUAGCCUAAUCCAUGUGUAUCAUUUCAUGAAAGGAGUGACAUUGCUACUGCCAAUAGGUAGAAGAUGCUCGAAUAUCUGUUUUACAAAUUUAGUAUCCCAAAUAGCCUAUUGAUAAUGUCUAUUCAAGAUCAAUUUUGAUUAAACUCUACAUGGUGAACGUUAUUGUCAUGUUUUUAUAAAUACAAAAAUUGUAAAGGAAACAAUUGAUGUUUAUUCUUUUGUAUUUUCUAAGUAGUUUAUGAUUAAGUCAUGUAAUAUA